rnacentral:rRNA from 1 species
CCUACGGGCGGCAGCAGUGAGGAAUAUUGGUCAAUGGACGAGAGUCUGAACCAGCCAAGUAGCGUGAAGGAUGACUGCCCUAUGGGUUGUAAACUUCUUUUAUAUGGGAAUAAAAUGUUCCACGUGUGGGAUUUUGUAUGUACCAUAUGAAUAAGGAUCGGCUAACUCCGUGCCAGCAGCCGCGGUAAUACGGAGGAUCCGAGCGUUAUCCGGAUUUAUUGGGUUUAAAGGGAGCGUAGGUGGAUUGUUAAGUCAGUUGUGAAAGUUUGCGGCUCAACCGUAAAAUUGCAGUUGAUACUGGCAGUCUGGAGUACAGGAGAGGUGAGCGGAAUUCGUGGUGUAGCGGUGAAAUGCUUAGAUAUCACGAAGAACUCCGAUUGCGAAGGCAGCUCACUGGACUGCAACUGACACUGAGGCUCGAAAGUGUGGGUAUCAAACAGGAUUAGAUACCCGUGUAGUC